CAGCCAUGUGUGUGUCGAAGAAUAGUUCUGCCAGAAGCUAUCUUUGUAAGCAAGCUGUGGGUUUGUGCUUCUUAACAUAAUAAAGUGAAAGUUGUAUGGUCAUGUCAGCUCUACUUUUCUCUGGAAAUUCCCAGUCUCCAUUAACUUGCUCCAUUAACAAAAUCAUAUUCGCGCCAUCGAGGGGAGCUCCCGUGUUAAAAGGUAGGACAAGAAGAGCACAUUUCACAAUCUUAGAAUAAUUGGGUCGUGCUUCUCCCCAAAAAAGGAGGUAAUUUUAACAGUAUAUCAUUUUGACACCUAAAAUUAGAUCUUUUUUACAAGAUGAAAGCAAAUGAGAUACAACUCAUAACUAACGGUUACGCGAGAAAAAAACUGAUUUUCUAGAAAGCCAAACACAUUUUGUCGAAGGUGGUUGGAGGACGCCUGCCGUGUGUUCCUCGUAAACGAAAAACGCCAAUGCAUUUCCCUGUAACACAAUGGUUUGAAAUAUCCAUCAUUCCCAUCUGAAAGUAGAAACAAUUAGAUGAUGGAUGAAGUAAUUCAAAGGUGAAUAUUUACCGAUCAAUCAUCUUCUAUAUAGGUUACGUGCCUUAUAAAGAACGAAACCUUGCUCCAACCCAUUGUCGAAAAAGGAGGAUAAGACCUGUUUUGUAACCAGACAAAAUGACCGUGUCUCCCGCUUCAUUUGUACAGGUAAUUUUUGUAUAAAUAUAUCAUGCCACGUUAUUCUUAACAGCAGAACGUUGUGGUCAAGUACAGAGGUUACACCUGUGAUAUGUAGGAGUGACGGUGGUAGGCAUAAGUUAAAUUAUUUGCUUUUUAUCACCAAAUGGACAUGUUUAUCCGUCUAAAAGUGAGCGUUUCUCUUCUUUGAAUAACAUUCACCCCAGGGCAAAAAACACCAUGUUUUCCAGCAUGAAAAUAGACUGAACCUUUUUAGACGUUUAGAAAGGUGCACAAUGGUAAACAGUUGCGUCCUCGGUACCAAUAAGGCGAGACGUUGUUAGCUUGUUUGCAACCCAACAAGUGGACACAUGCAGGUUCUUACGCUGUUGAAGGAAGAGAAGAGCAGGAUGGCUUUUCGACUAGGAGGCCUUGUAUUCCUGUCGUUGUGCAUGACGAUCGUUUUGACCAGUGGACUUCAGAAUCCCGGCUCAUCAGCUCGCCGUCCCGAAGCUUUGUUUCAAUCCCUGUUUCUGUGGACUUCAGCAUUAUUAUGCUUUUACGAUUGCUUAGUUAUGAUAGCAAUCUAUCGCAACGCCGAAGUCAACAUUAACCUGGAAGUGCACAUCAAAUGAAACUAAAUCUUGUGAAUCCUCAAAAGUGAAUUGAAGAUUCAUCUGAAAUUCAACUCCAAUUUCAACCUGGACUACAAACGUGAAUAAAACCACACGCGUACGAAUUGGUACGGUUAGUUAUAGCACAAGAUAAUGUAAAAACAAAAGAUUAUUUUGUGAUACCUGUGAUCGAUCAAUCUCAGAAUAAACAGAUUUUGCCCUCGAAGAACAGUACAUUCCACAGACUGGCCUCAACAUAUUAGGACUUUUGCUGAACACGAAAGCUUCAUUUAAGCAACAUAAAUAGUCGAUGAAAUCCAUAUACAGCGAUUGAGGGCUAUUGUCAGAACUUGAUGGAUCAAACGGAUGCCCUGCGGGCCUUAAGACACGUCGUGGUUGGUUUCAGCCGUUACAUGUCACCAACAGCGUCCGAUAAGUGCGUGAAAGGAUAGUCUGUGGCUCAAGGAUAUUCAAACCAGCUUUUACCAUAGCUUGUUAUGGAAAGUGUGUUCCUCCAUGGCGAUGAAUGAUGGUCCACAUUUUCGCUCAAAUGAAGACAAAAGAAAUCGGCCGAAACAGGAAGAUCGUUCUUAUUUUAAUGAGUGAUGAGGCAACUGUGAAUAAGCGGCAAUUAGCAACAAUUUUCGAGAAAAAAAGAACAUUGCGUAGAGCCUAAAAAAAGGGGAGAAAACAUUGAAAAGGCGUAUUUUUUGUACAAUAAAGACAGCAGCUGAAAUAAAUUCGCGAAACAAUCUGUAGAGCAAAAAAAAAAAACGAGAUGUAAAAUACAUUCUGGAAAGAGGUAGAAAAACAUUAGCUCUUAAAUCUAAAUGG